CAGAGGGGGCAAGCGUUAUUCGGAAUUAUUGGGCGUAAAGGGCGCGUAGGCGGCCUGGCAAGUGGAAGGUGAAAUCCCUCGGCUUAACCGAGGAACUGCCUUCCAGACUGCUUGGCUUGAGACCAGGAGAGGUGAGUGGAAUUCCCAGUGUAGCGGUGAAAUGCGUAGAUAUUGGGAGGAACACCAGUGGCGAAGGCGGCUCACUGGACUGGUACCGACGCUGAGGCGCGAAAGCGUGGGGAGCAAACGGGAUUAGAUACCCCGGUAGUCCACGCCGUAAACGAUGAGUGCUUGGUGUAGCGGGUAUCGACCCCUGCUGUGCCGAAGUCAACACAUUAAGCACUCCGCCUGGGGAGUACGGUCGCAAGGCUG
rnacentral:rRNA from 1 species